rnacentral:tRNA from 2 species
GCCCGGGUGGUGAAAUUGGUAGACACAACGGACUUAAAAUCCGUCGGCUCUUAAAACGGCCGUGCCGGUUCGAUUCCGGCCCCGGGCACCA